rnacentral:rRNA from 1 species
UACGUAGGGGGCAAGCGUUGUCCGGAUUUAUUGGGCGUAAAGAGCGUGUAGGCGGCCAGAUAGGUCCGUUGUGAAAACUCGAGGCUCAACCUCGAGACGCCGAUGGAAACCAUUUGGCUAGAGUCCGGAAGAGGAGAGUGGAAUUCCUGGUGUAGCGGUGAAAUGCGCAGAUAUCGUAAGGAAGACCAGUGGCGAAGGCGGGUCUCUGGACAGUUCCUGACGCUGAGGCACGAAGGUCAGGGGAGCAAACGGG